rnacentral:rRNA from 1 species
GACGAACGCUGGCGGCGUGCUUAACACAUGCAAGUCGAACGAUGAAGCUGGAGCUUGCUCCGGUGGAUUAGUGGCGAACGGGUGAGUAACACGUGAGCAAUCUGCCCUUGACUCUGGGAUAACUGCGGGAAACUGUAGCUAAUACCGGAUACGAGGCUCGAAGGCAUCUUCGGGUCUGGAAAGAAUUUCGGUCCAGGAUGAGCUCGCGGCCUAUCAGCUUGUUGGUGAGGUAAUGGCUCACCAAGGCGACGACGGGUAGCCGGCCUGAGAGGGUGACCGGCCACACUGGGACUGGGACACGGCCCAGACUCCUACGGGAGGCAGCAGUGGGGAAUAUUGCACAAUGGGCGAAAGCCUGAUGCAGCAACGCCGCGUGAGGGAUGAAGGCCUUCGGGUUGUAAACCUCUUUUAGCAGGGAAGAAGCGAAAGUGACGGUACCUGCAGAAAAAGCACCGGCUAACUACGUGCCAGCCGCCGCGGUAA